UACGAAGGGGGCUAGCGUUGCUCGGAAUUACUGGGCGUAAAGCGCACGUAGGCGGCUCUUUAAGUCGGGGGUGAAAUCCUGGAGCUCAACUCCAGAACUGCCUUCGAUACUGAAGAGCUUGAGUCCGGGAGAGGUGAGUGGAACUGCGAGUGUAGAGGUGAAAUUCGUAGAUAGUCGCAAGAACACCAGUGGCGAAGGCGGCUCACUGGCCCGGUACUGACGCUGAGGUGCGAAAGCGUGGGGAGCAAACAGG
rnacentral:rRNA from 1 species